rnacentral:rRNA from 1 species
UACGUAGGGGGCAAGCGUUAUCCGGAAUUACUGGGUGUAAAGGGUGCGUAGGCGGCACGCCAAGUCAGUUGUGAAACCCGUAGGCUCAACCUACGGCUUGCAAUUGAAACUGGCGAGCUAGAGUACAGGAGAGGAAAGCGGAAUUCCUAGUGUAGCGGUGAAAUGCGUAGAUAUUAGGAAGAACACCGGUGGCGAAGGCGGCUUUCUGGACUGAAACUGACGCUGAGGCACGAAAGCGUGGGGAGCAAACA